CCUACCCAUAGGUUGGGGACAACUCCGGGAAACCGGAGCUAAUACCGAAUAAUAUUUCAAGAACGCAUGUUUUUGAAAUCAAAGGAGGCCUCUCUAUAGAAGCUUCUGCCCAUGGAUGGAUCCGCGUCUGAUUAGCUAGUUGGUGGGGUAAUGGCCUACCAAGGCGACGAUCAGUAGCCGGCCUGAGAGGGUGAACGGCCACACUGGGACUGAGACACGGCCCGGACUCCUACGGGAGGCAGCAGUGGGGAAUCUUCCGCAAUGGGCGAAAGCCUGACGGAGCAAUGCCGCGUGAAUGAAGAAGGCCUUCGGGUUGUAAAGUUCUGUUGAGAAGGAAGAAAGAUCUAAGAGCUAAUACCUCUUAAGUUUGACGGUACUUUUCGAGGAAGCCCCGGCUAACUACGUGCCAGCAGCCGCGGUAAUACGUAGGGGGCAAGCGUUGUCCGGAAUCACUGGGCGUAAAGCGCAUGUAGGCGGGAUAUUAAGUCAGGUGUGAAAACUACAGGCUCAACCUGUAGAUUGCAUUUGAAACUGGUAUUCUUGAGUAUUGGAGAGGAAAGUGGAAUUCCUAGUGUAGCGGUGAAAUGCGUAAAUAUUAGGAGGAACACCAGUGGCGAAGGCGACUUUCUG
rnacentral:rRNA from 1 species